rnacentral:rRNA from 1 species
GUACAUGCCUACAUCAUAGCAUUAAUUCACUAGAUCCCAUUAGAACUCCACAAUUAAGUGCACUCGGGCUAGAGUAGUACUGGGAUGGGUGAUCGCUUGGGAAGUCUUAGUGUUUUACAUG